UGGGCCUCAAAUAAUGU
rnacentral:rRNA from 1 species